CAUCUUUGAAUAUGUUGACACAUUGACAUUGACAUUAUUGAUGACACUUGAAAUUUGGGAUGCAGUUUCUGUACUAAAUCUUAAGUUUUCCACCAUUUCCUCGUUGUCUGAUGCUUGUUUAGUCUUCACGAAUCCCUGUUAGUCUGUCGAGAUAUGAUAUGAAAGGAUCCAUCUCCUCAAAGAGAUGGAUUACCCCAAUAAAUCUCUGUGGAGAGUAUUUGCCGGAUGAUGGUCCUGCAAAAUUUGCAUGACCUCCACUGACUGUGAGAGUGACAGCCACUAGAGGGGUUCUUAGGGUUCUGGUGCUAAGAGUGUACCUUUAAGUGAACAUGGAUGGCGAAUAGAUAAGUAACUCCAUGUUUUUUCUGACCCAAAGCAGCAAAGACAGAGGAACUCAUGGGACUUAUUUGAAGAAAGUAAACACAUUUCAAUCUCAAAAAGACAUUAAGUAUGGAUGUUUUGAGCCUCACCUGAGUACAGUAUGAGCUUCAGGAGAUCCGCCAAUAGUUUAUUGAUGAUUAAGAUGGUUUGAUCCACUACAAUGUCAAACUUUGAGACAUCUAUAUUGAUUAUGUUAUUGAUUUGGCUUGUUAUACUUGUAUUUAAUGUGCCUACUUAUUUUAUACAUUGCAUACUUUAUUUGAUAUAACUGAUUAACGAGGAAUCAUUGGCGUUGUUUGCAUAUGUCAUCAAGUCAGGGAGGUGUUUGUGAUGUUCAUCCAGUUCAUGCGCAGAAAAUAUAGAAAUAUUUUGGGGUUCUGGCAUUUUUAAACCUCCUUCUAGAGGUGUUGAAUUCACUAUGUUGUUGGUGGUCCCAUGUCAGUUUUGCUGUCUCCUCCUUCACAGGACUAUGAUGCCAAAACUAAAGUGUUAAACAAAGGUAAAGGGGUCUGUUUUUACCAGUCCUAUUAUAGUAAAAAUAUUGUCAGAAAAUCUGAAUAAUGGGAUUAUGUUUGUGUUAGUAUUGUCAAAAGUUCACUCUGUGCAUUUGGAGCAAGAC